GACGAACCGUGCGAACGUUGUUCGGAAUCACUGGGCUUAAAGGGCGCGUAGGCGGGCAUUCAAGUCAAGGGUGAAAUCCCCCCAGCUUAACUGGGGAACUGCCUUUGAUACUGGGUGCCUCGAGUAAGGUAGGGGCAUGCGGAACUGAUGGUGGAGCGGUGAAAUGUGUUGAUAUCAUCAGGAACUCCGGUGGCGAAGGCGGCAUGCUGGACCUUCACUGACGCUGAGGCGCGAAAGCUAGGGGAGCGAACGGG
rnacentral:rRNA from 1 species